CAGUAGCCGCGGUAAUACGGGGGGGGCAAGUGUUAUUCGGAAUGACUGGGCGUAAAGGGCACGUAGGCGGUGAAAAGGGUGGAAAGUGAAAGUCGCCAAAACACUGGCGGGGUGCUUUCUUGACCAUUUCACUUGAGUGAGAUAGGGGAGAGUGGAAUUUCGUGUGGAGGGAUCAAAUCCUAAGAUAUACGAAGGAACGCCAACCGCGAAGGCAGCUCUCUGGGUCCCCACUGACGCUGGGGUGCGAAAGCAUGGGGAGCAAACAGGAUCAGAUACCCCAGUAGUCCCUGUCUCUUAUACA
rnacentral:rRNA from 1 species